rnacentral:rRNA from 1 species
ACCGCCUGGGGAGUACGGCCGCAAGGUUAAAACUCAAAUGAAUUGACGGGGGCCCGCACAAGCGGUGGAGCAUGUGGUUUAAUUCGAUGCAACGCGAAGAACCUUACCUGGUCUUGACAUCCACGGAAGUUUUCAGAGAUGAGAAUGUGCCUUCGGGAACCGUGAGACAGGUGCUGCAUGGCUGUCGUCAGCUCGUGUUGUGAAAUGUUGGGUUAAGUCCCGCAACGAGCGCAACCCUUAUCCUUUGUUGCCAGCGGUCCGGCCGGGAACUCAAAGGAGACUGCCAGUGAUAAACUGGAGGAAGGUGGGGAUGACGUCAAGUCAUCAUGGCCCUUACGACCAGGGCUACACACGUGCUACAAUGGCGCAUACAAAGAGAAGCGACCUCGCGAGAGCAAGCGGACCUCAUAAAGUGCGUCGUAGUCCGGAUUGGAGUCUGCAACUCGACUCCAUGAAGUCGGAAUCGCUAGUAAUCGUGGAUCAGAAUGCCACGGUGAAUACGUUCCCGGGCCUUGUACACACCGCCCGUCACACCAUGGGAGUGGGUUGCAAAAGAAGUAG